GUACUCCAGUGCUAGUUACUUUACAAAUAUGUUCACAAGAGCCUUGGACAAAUACUUCAUCCAAGACCUGUGGAACAUGCACGAUUAAUGAACUAUAGAGCUACAGUACACCCGGUGGGCCAAGGAUGUAAUACACUGUAGAGCAAUAUAACUCACCUGGUGAUUUCUAUUGCUAUAUCGGGGUCUGGCGAUACUAUACGAACGAAAGUGCAAUUAUUAGUUUUGACGACUAAUAAUCAUGAUGAGCAAGGCUCGGGUUUCUGACGACAUGAAAAUGCCAACGGCGAGAGAAGGCUUUUAGACCGACGAUCUGAUGUGCUUAUAGAGGUUUUGAUUUAUAUCUUAAUAAGGGCCGGUCGAGGUGCAACAGGGAGAGUAUACUCGUACCCGUACAGUAAAAUAGACACUCACAAAACCAGGCCAUGCGGAAUUUGAACACUAUGAAAAGAUAAAUGGAGUAAUUUCUUCUUCAUAUUUUGUUGGCUUCUCAGUGUAGCGUGUAUCUAAUGGAGGGCACUCAAUGACACAAGGUACCUGAAAGCUGAUUACAAGAAAAAGCCCGAGGUCAUUGAGAUAAAAUGCUGCGAUGACAAUAAUGACUCCAAUUAUAACAAAACAAAACAUAUGCAUAUUUGCCUAUAUGACAGCAUGGGCAAUUUUAUACCUAACAACAUUGCCAGUAGCAUCUGCGAUGAUGCGACCAAAUCAAACGUUUUGGAGUACUUCGAAUCUUCCAAAUCCAAAGACGAAGUUCUUGUGCCGAGGAGUGAAAAGUGUUCCUUCAUAUUUUUGUGACCCAGAGCAUAUCCUGGAACACGAUGAAGCACUUUCAAUACAGAGACGUCUCCAAAGAAUCCACAUGUCAUCGACCUGUUCCUGUGCUGCGGAUGAAUGCAACAGCCAUACGCCCUACUCUGGCUAUGAGUUCGUGGUCAUCUUAGUCAGCAAUAUAAUAUCAGUAGACAGAAAUGAUGUUGAAGAAUAUAUCGAUACGAGGGAGUCAUAUGAAGAACUGCCCGAUGAUUUCAAAAUGAAUGGCCGAUUUCCACUGGAACCAGUGAAGUCAAAACAAAUACCCACAGAUGAACUUGCAAAUGCCGUACUUAGCGAGAAAUGGAAACUCGGACACUGCGGGGACUAUGCUCUACUGACCUAUGCAACAAAUAGUAAAACCUGCGUGUUUACGCAUGGUUCUACAUUAACUUCCUUGACCAGCUCCAACUGCCAUCUAUCAAUGCGUAACAGCACAAGUAACAAUAUCACAAACUACAUUCCAACAAACAGCAACAAUGGAAACACUCAUAAGAACAACAAUAUUCAUAACAACAAUGUGACAAAAACUAACAUAACGUUAACCAUGCAGAAUAUGACUGUUUAUCAAAAACUUGAUGAAAUUCUAUCUUACUACGAAUCUCAUUAUUUCUAUAAAGAUGGCGGUCCCCGAACUGCGAUGAUAUAUGCUGCAAGCACAGAACCUGUUAAAAGAAAGGGAUUCUCUUUAUAUGUCCUUGCUCCGAUCUUGAUUUUUGCAUCAUUUAUUUUGAUUGUCUUAUUCCUUAUAAUUACGGAUAAAUAUAUCCUACCGUGGUAUAGGAACAGAUUGAGGUGCAAAGAUGAGAAAAUUCGAUACAGAAGAAAGUUAGAUCAACUGAAUGGUAAUGAUUCUAAAAUGUCCAACUUGCACAAAGAGGAUCAUCUGCUAGAAGCGGAGAGUGUUGUUGACGCUGAUGAGGGAUGGUGGUGGGAUGAGUCUGGACAGAGAAUACGUCAUGAAAGUGGAGAACCAGAGAAAGUGCAUGUGUAUUAGAUGUUUCCUCUAAAAGUUUGACUAAAAAAAUCCAGUCAACGUACUACAAUGUGUCUCAAAAAUAUGUUACACUUACAAAAAGUUCAAUAUCAUUCAUGAUUUUGACUUUCCCCUAAAAUAUAUUUAGAUACCAAAAGACCAGCCUUUCUCGAAUAAAUCCACACCAUCAGA
rnacentral:misc_RNA from 1 species